GCAUUGGUGGUUCAGUGGUAGAAUUCUCGCCUGCCACGCUGAGGCCCGGGUCCGAUUCCCGGCCAAUGCA
rnacentral:tRNA from 1 species